UCCGAGGCUUCGCAAUUGGAAUGGGAACACUUCAAAUCCUUUAUCGAGGAUCUAUUGGAGGGCAAGUCUAGUGCCAGCAGCCGCGGUAAUUCCAGCUCCAAUAGCGUAUAUUAAAGUUGCUGCGGUUAAAAAGCUCGUAGUUGGAUCUCAGUCUUGAUCGGACGGUUCAUUUCACGAUGAUACAGUUCGAAUCGGACAAUUGGCCGCCUUUCUCCGUAUGCUCUUGAUUGAAGUGUGCGGAGGAAGUGGCACGUUCACUUUGAAAAAAUUAGAGUGCUCAAAGCAGGCCUUAGCCUGAAUCUUCGUGCAUGGAAUGAUGGAAUAGGGCCUCGGUUCUAUUUUGUUGGUUUCCGGAACUCGAGGUAAUGAUUAAGAGGGACGGACGGGGGCAUUCGUAUUGCGACGUUAGAGGUGAAAUUCUUAGAUCGUCGCAAGACGAACUACUGCGAAAGCAUUUGCCAAGAAUGUUUUCAUUAAUCAAGAACGAAAGUCAGAGGUUCGAAGGCGAUCAGAUACCGCCCUAGUUCUGACCAUAAACGAUGCCAACUGGCGAUCCGUCGGUGUUAAUCCAAAUGACCCGACGGGCAGUCUCCGGGAAACCAAAGUUUUCGUGUUCCGGGGGAAGUAUGGUUGCAAAACUGGAACUUAAAGGAAUUGACGGAAGGGCACCACCAGGAGUGGAGCCUGUGGCUUAAUUUGACUCAACACGGGAAAUCUCACCAGGCCCGGACACCGGCAGGAUUGACAGAUUGAGAGCUCUUUCUUGAUUCGGUGGGUGGUGGUGCAUGGCCGUUCUUAGUUGGUGGAGCGAUUUGUCUGGUUAAUUCCGAUAACGAACGAGACCCCGUCCUACUCACUAGACUGAGGAUCAUUUCCGUCCUCACCGUCUUCUUAGAGGGACAAC
rnacentral:rRNA from 1 species